UACAACGGAGAGUUUGAUCCUGGCUCAGGACGAACGCUGGCGGCGUGCUUAACACAUGCAAGUCGUACGAGAAAGAGGUAGCAAUACUUCAAGUAAAGUGGCGCACGGGUGAGUAACACGUAAGUAACCUGCCUUUAGGUCUGGGAUAACUCCGAGAAAUCGAAGCUAAUACCGGAUGAUGCAGCGGAUCCACAUGGAUAUGUUGUUAAAAUCUAUAUGGUGCCUAAAGAUGGGCUUGCGUCCGAUUAGCUAGUUGGUAGGGUAACGGCCUACCAAGGCUGCGAUCGGUAGCUGGUCUGAGAGGAUGAUCAGCCACACUGGAACUGAGACACGGUCCAGACUCCUACGGGAGGCAGCAGUGAGGAAUAUUGGGCAAUGCCCGGAAGGGUGACCCAGCAACGCCGCGUGGAGGAUGAAUGCCGUAAGGUUGUAAACUCCUGUUAGAGGGGAAGAACAAUUCCGAUCAAAUCGGAACAUGACUGUACCCUCAGAGAAAGCCCCGGCUAACUACGUGCCAGCAGCCGCGGUAAUACGUAGGGGGCUAGCGUUGUCCGGAUUUACUGGGUGUAAAGGGCGCGUAGGUGGAUUUGCAAGUCAGGGGUGAAAUCUCACGGCUUAACCGUGAAACUGCCUUUGAUACUGUAAAUCUUGAGUUCGGAAGAGAGAGACGGAAUUCCAGGUGUAGUGGUGAAAUACGUAGAUAUCUGGAAGAACACCAGUUGCGAAGGCGGUCUCUUGGUCCGAUACUGACACUCAGGCGCGAAAGCGUGGGUAGCAAACAGGAUUAGAUACCCUGGUAGUCCACGCUGUAAACGAUGAAUACUAGGUGUUGGUCCUUUUAGGAUCAGCGCCGAAGCUAACGCAUUAAGUAUUCCACCUGGGGAGUACGAUCGCAAGGUUGAAACUCAAAGGAAUUGACGGGGGCCCGCACAAGCA
rnacentral:rRNA from 1 species